GAUGAACGCUGGCGGCGUGCCUAAUACAUGCAAGUCGAGCGAACAGACGAGGAGCUUGCUCCUCUGACGUUAGCGGCGGACGGGUGAGUAACACGUGGAUAACCUACCUAUAAGACUGGGAUAAAUUCGGGAAACCGGAGCUAAUACCGGAUAAUAUAUUCAACAGCAUGGUUCAAUAGUGAAAGACGGCUUUGCUGUCACUUAUAGCUGGAUCCGCGCCGCAUUAGCUAGUUGGUAAGGUAACGGCUUACCAAGGCAACGAUGCGUAGCCGACCUGAGAGGGUGAUCGGCCACACUGGAACUGAGACACGGUCCAGACUCCUACGGGAGGCAGCAGUAGGGAAUCUUCCGCAAUGGGCGAAAGCUUGACGGAGCAACGCCGCGUGAGUGAUGAAGGUCUUCGGAUCGUAAAACUCUGUUAUUAGGGAAGAACAAAUGUGUAAGUAACUAUGCACGUCUUGACGGUACCUAAUCAGAAAGCCACGGCUAACUACGUG
rnacentral:rRNA from 1 species